GACACAAUAACCGCUUCAAUGCUGUCAUCUUCCACCAGAGUUAUACCAGUGUCCAUUAUUUCCUCAGGGAGCAAGCUGUUUACUUCUGCUGAAACCACCUCCAUUUUAGCAGUUGUGGCAGUGAUGGCCGUAGCAGAAGUCUCACGCAAGCAAACAACUGUCUCAGAAUGGGCUUUCUUAGCCCCAGAAGCUCAAUCAACAGCCUACCUCGGGACCAAGGCAAAACUCUGCCCUUCCACCAUAAGGUGGUAAAUGGCUGUUAAACAUCUUUAAUUCAAUGGAAACUUAAAUGGAAAUGCAACAGAAUUUUGAACAACACUGACUUCCAACCUUCUGCAUUGCAAAAAACCAGAAAAAUAAAGACACUGCUUCAAGUUUGAAAUUAAAACCUGGUAAGUUAAAAGAACGGAGACUGCAUUGGGACCAAAGUUGAGUGCCCAGCCUGAGUGGCCCAAUUGUGUCCAUCCUACUGACUGCAGACCUACAACUGAUAAUCAUAAAAAAGAUAGAAAGGAACAACUUGAAACUUGCUGU